UACCAGCUCUCCGAGUGGUGUGGAUGUUUAUUUGGCCUAAAGCAUCCGUAGCUGGCUGGACAAGUCCCCUGUUAAAUCCACCGAUUUAAUCGUUGGAGUGCGGGGGAUACUGUUCGGCUAGGGGACGGGAGAGGCAGACGGUAUUUUUGGGGUAGGGGUGAAAUCCUAUAAUCCCAGGAAGACCACCAGUGGCGAAGGCUGUCUGCUAGAACGCGCCCGACGGUGAGGGAUGAAAGCUGGGGGAGCGAACCGGAUUAGAUACCCGGGUAGUCCCAGCUGUAAACGAUGCAGGCUAGGUGUUUGGACGGCCACGUGCCGUUCUAGUGCCGCAGGGAAGCCGUUAAGCCUGCCGCCUGGGGAGUACGGCCGCAAGGCUGAAACUUAAAGGAAUUGGCGGGGGAGCACCACAAGGGGUGAAGCUUGCGGUUU
rnacentral:rRNA from 1 species